rnacentral:rRNA from 1 species
GAACGCUGGCGGCGUGCCUAAUACAUGCAAGUCGAGCGGAGAAAUGGGAGCUUGCUCCCAUUUCUCAGCGGCGGACGGGUGAGUAACACGUGGGCAACCUGCCCUGCAGACUGGGAUAACUCCGGGAAACCGGAGCUAAUACCGGGUAAUACAUAGCAUCGCAUGAUGCAACGUUGAAAGUUGGCCUUUGGCUAACACUGUAGGAUGGGCCCGCGGCGCAUUAGCUAGUUGGUAAGGUAACGGCUUACCAAGGCCACGAUGCGUAGCCGACCUGAGAGGGUGAUCGGCCACACUGGGACUGAGACACGGCCCAGACUCCUACGGGAGGCAGCAGUAGGGAAUCUUCCGCAAUGGACGAAAGUCUGACGGAGCAACGCCGCGUGAGUGACGAAGGCCUUCGGGUCGUAAAGCUCUGUUGUUAGGGAAGAACAAGUACCGUUCGAAUAGGGCGGUACCUUGACGGUACCUAACCAGAAAGCCACGGCUAACUACGUGCCAGCAGCCGCGGUAAUACGUAGGUGGCAAGCGUUGUCCGGAAUUAUUGGGCGUAAAGCGCGCGCAGGCGGUCUCUUAAGUCUGAUGUGAAAGCCCACGGCUCAACCGUGGAGGGCCAUUGGAAACUGGGGGACUUGAGUGCAGAAGAGGAGAGUGGAAUUCCACGUGUAGCGGUGAAAUGCGUAGAUAUGUGGAGGAACACCAGUGGCGAAGGCGGCUCUCUGGUCUGUAACUGACGCUGAGGCGCGAAAGCGUGGGGAGCGAACAGGAUUAGAUACCCUGGUAGUCCACGCCGUAAACGAUGAGUGCUAGGUGUUGGGGGGUUCCACCCUCAGUGCUGAAGUUAACACAUUAAGCACUCCGCC